GACGUAGGGGGCCAGCGUUAUUCGGAAUUACUGGGUGUAAAGGGUUCGUAGGCGGUGUGGCAAGUCGGGAGUGAAAUCUCUGGGCUCAACUCAGAGACUGCUUCCGAAACUGCUGUGCUGGAGUGUGGGAGAGGCGCGUGGAAUUGCAGGUGUAGCGGUGAAAUGCGUAGAUAUCUGCAGGAACACCCGUGGCGAAAGCGGCGCGCUGGACCACUACUGACGCUGAGGAACGAAAGCUAGGGGAGCAAACAGG
rnacentral:rRNA from 1 species